rnacentral:rRNA from 1 species
GAGUCGAACAAGGUUUCCGUAGGUGAAACCCUGCGGAAGGAUCAUUGUCGAAACCUGCAAAGCAGAACGACCCGUGAACUUGUACUUAAACUGAGGUGAUGGGGGAACAGGCCAACGCCUUGAACCCAAUCGCCUGUUGGCGUGCGUUCGUGGUGCCCCAUUCGGAGCGGCACGGACGUUCCGUCGACAACCUAACCAACCCCGGCACGGAAUGUGCCAAGGAAAACAAAACAAAAGAAGGGUGCGGACCGUGUUGCCCCGUUCGCGGUGUGCAUGCGGGUCGUGGCCUCCUAGAAACACAAACGACUCUCGGCAACGGAUAUCUCGGCUCCCGCAUCGAUGAAGAACGUAGCAAAAUGCGAUACUUGGUGUGAAUUGCAGAAUCCCGUGAACCAUCGAGUUUUUGAACGCAAGUUGCGCCCAAAGCCAUCCGGCUGAGGGCACGCCUGCCUGGGCGUCACGCAUCGCGUCGCUCCCUACAUAUAUCCUUUUGGGAUGCAUGUUGUUGGGGCGGAGAUUGGCCUCCCAUGCCCCUGCUAUGGUUGGCCCAAACACGAGUCCCCUUCGGUGGACGCACGACUAGUGGUGGUUGAAUAGGCCCUCGUCUUCGUCGUGCGUCGUUUGCUGCAAGGAAAGAACUCUUGUAUGACCCCCAAUGCAUUGUCUCAUGAUGAUGCUUCGACCGCGACCCCAGGUCAGGCGGGACUACCCGCUGAGUUUAA